AAUCUUCUGUAAAGUUUAUAUAAGACAACUUCUGCCCAAUGAUUUUUUUAAUGGCCGCAGUACCUUGACUGUGCUAAGGUAGCAUAAUAAAUUGGCUUUUAAAUGAAGUCUAGAAUGAAAGAAUAUUUGAGAAAAGAUUGUCUUUUUUUUAUUAAUACGAAGUUUUUUUUUAGGUGAAAAGACCUAAUUUGAUAAGAAAGACGAGAAGACCCUUAGAAUUUUAAAAAUAGUUCCAUUAAGCUUUUUUUUUGUUGGGGUGACAUAUUAACAAUAAUAACUUCUUUUACUUCAGGAACAGAGAAUUUAGUUAGUAAAUUACCUUAGGGAUANNNNNNNNNNNNNNNNUUGUGACCUCGAUGUUGGACUAGGAACCUAAUAGUUAGUAA
rnacentral:rRNA from 1 species